ACAGAUCGUUCAGAGUUUGAUCCUGGCUCAGGAUGAACGCUGGCGGCGUGCAUAACACAUUCAAGUCGAACGGUGAAGUGACUUCGGUCAUGGAUCAGUGGCGGACGGGUGAGUAACGCGUGAAUAACCUGCCUGUAUGUGGGGGAUAACAACCGGAAACAGUUGCUAAUACCGCAUAAUGUAUGGAGAUCGCAUGUUUUCCAUACCAAAGAUUUAUUGCAUACAGAUGGAUUCGCGUCCGAUUAGAUAGUUGGUGAGGUAACGGCCCACCAAGUCGACGAUCGGUAGCCGGACUGAGAGGUUGAACGGCCACAUUGGAACUGAGAUACGGUCCAG
rnacentral:rRNA from 1 species